GACGGAGGAUGCAAGUGUUAUCCGGAAUCACUGGGCGUAAAGCGUCUGUAGGUGGUCAAAUAAGUCAACUGUUAAAUCUUGAGGCUCAACCUCAAAAUCGCAGUCGAAACUAUUAGACUAGAGUAUAGUAGGGGUAAAGGGAAUUUCCAGUGUAGCGGUGAAAUGCGUAGAUAUCAGGAGGAACACCGAUGGCGAAGGCAGGUCUCUGGGCUGACACUGACGCUCAUGCACGAAAGCGUGGGGAGCAAACAGG
rnacentral:rRNA from 1 species